rnacentral:rRNA from 1 species
AGUGAACGCUGGCGGCAGGCCUAACACAUGCAAGUCGAGCGGCAGCGGGUCCUUCGGGAUGCCGGCGAGCGGCGGACGGGUGAGGAAUACAUCGGAAUCUGCCCUGUCGUGGGGGAUAACCUAGGGAAACUUAGGCUAAUACCGCAUACGACCUACGGGUGAAAGCGGGGGAUCGCAAGACCUCGCGCGACAGGAUGAGCCGAUGUCCGAUUAGCUAGUUGGCGGGGUAAAGGCCCACCAAGGCGACGAUCGGUAGCUGGUCUGAGAGGAUGAUCAGCCACACUGGGACUGAGACACGGCCCAGACUCCUACGGGAGGCAGCAGUGGGGAAUAUUGGACAAUGGGCGCAAGCCUGAUCCAGCCAUGCCGCGUGGGUGAAGAAGGCCUUCGGGUUGUAAAGCCCUUUUGUCCGGGAAGAAAUCGUCUGGGCUAAUACCCCGGGCGGAUGACGGUGCCGGAAGAAUAAGCACCGGCUAACUUCGUG